rnacentral:tRNA from 1 species
GGCAACUUGGCCGAGCGGUCUAAGGCGCCAGACUCAAGAAACGAGGUCCCACCUUCUGAUCUUCCCCAUGCGUAACCGGGGUGUAUUCUGGUCUCGAAAGAGGCGUGAGUUCGAAUCUCACAGUUGUCA